GACGAACGCUGGCGGCGUGCCUAAUACAUGCAAGUCGAACGCAGGGGGGACGGGUGAGUAACACGUGGGUAACCUCCCAUCAGAGGGGAGAACACUUGGAAACAGGUGCUAAACCGAUACUGAUGGAUGGACUCGGGGGGGAUUGGCUAGUUGGUGAGGUAACGGCCCACCAAGGCCACGAUGCAUAGCCGGCCGGAGAGGUUGAUCGGCCACACGGGGACUGAGACACGGCCCAGACUCCUACGGGAGGCAGCAGUGGGGAAUCUUCGGCAAUGGACGAAAGUCUGACCGAGCAACGCCGCGUGAGUGAAGAAGGUCUUCGGAUCGUAAAACUCUUUUGUUGGAGAGGCGGUAUCUAACCAGAAAGCAACGGCUAACUACGUGCCAGCAGCCGCGGUAAUUC
rnacentral:rRNA from 1 species